AGCACAUUAAUAAAAGAAGUAUCACAAGAUAUAAACAAGUUCUCCCUAAUGAGCUUGUAUAUUUGCAAAAAUAGGUCGCAAAAAGAAAUUCACGUUCCAACCUUCACCUUCGUGCCCAGAUUAUUCAUUUCAUUGUCCCAUAACUCGAUCCAUAUCCAAGGACGAUAACAAACUCUCUCCCUCUCUCUCUUUAGGGAAACCAAAACCUAAGCAAGAGAAAAGGCUUCGAUGAAAGAUCCUAAUAUGCAGAGUAGACGAUGCUGGACCUUCUACUAGAGAUUUUUGGUCUAGAUAUUUUAGGAAGAAAUUUAAGAAAUUUAAUUAAGUAGUCCUAUUUAUUUAUUUAGGAGUUUGAGUUGAUUUAGCAUUCAUAAUUAGCAUUAGUUUCAUAUUUUCUUUUUUGGGACAUUAUAAAUUAAAAACAUGUCAUC
rnacentral:misc_RNA from 1 species